GGCCUUAGUAAAUUCGGGAGGUAGUUUUUAAGGCAAACUGUUCAAAGUAAAUCCAGUACUUUUUUAUUAUUAUUGUUAUGAUUAUUAUUUUGCCAAACAAGAUAUGGUAACUUGAACAAUAAAAAAUAAGACACAUUUGUGUCUGCAUUAGCAAAGGUAAAUGCUAGUUUGUUGACAAAGGUUAAAGUAAAAAAAUUCUCAGUGGAUUACAAUGGAAGUUUAUUUCUCACUGAUAUUAAGUCCGCUCGGUAGUUGUGGAAAGGUAAUGCCCAUGUAGCUAAUCUGGGACUCAGUCUGUCAGAAGCUCUCUCAUCUUCAACGUGAAUCUUCAAAUGUCACACAGGAAUUCAACAACCAGCUGGUAGAUAGGGGAAGAGAGAGU
rnacentral:lncRNA from 1 species